GCCUAUUUCCAAAUAACCUGGUACGUGGCUGAUCUCGUCAGAUCUCGGAAGCUAAGCUAGCGUUGAGCCUGGCUAGCCCCUGCAUGGGCGAUCACCAUCGUGCAUAACAGUUGCUAUAGGCU
rnacentral:rRNA from 1 species